rnacentral:tRNA from 1 species
GGGAGAGUGGCCGAGUGGUUAAAAGCGGCAGACUGUAAAUCUGCUGAAGGUUUUCUACGUAGGUUCGAAUCCUGCCUUUCCCA